GUCAGGAUGACGCUAGCUACAGGCUUAACACAUGCAAGUCGAGGGGCAGCAUCAUCAAAGCUUGCUUUGAUGGAUGGCGACCGGCGCACGGGUGAGUAACACGUAUCCAACCUGCCGACAACACUGGGAUAGCCUUUCGAAAGAAAGAUUAAUACCGGAUGGCAUAGUCUUCCCGCAUGGGAUGAUUAUUAAAGAAUUUCGGUUGUCGAUGGGGAUGCGUUCCAUUAGGCAGUUGGCGGGGUAACGGCCCACCAAACCUACGAUGGAUAGGGGUUCUGAGAGGAAGGUCCCCCACAUUGGAACUGAGACACGGUCCAAACUCCUACGGGAGGCAGCAGUGAGGAAUAUUGGUCAAUGGACGAGAGUCUGAACCAGCCAAGUAGCGUGAAGGAUGACUGCCCUAUGGGUUGUAAACUUCUUUUAUACGGGAAUAAAGUUAGCCACGUGUGGCUUUUUGUAUGUACCGUAUGAAUAAGGAUCGGCUAACUCCGUGCCAGCAGCCGCGGUAAUACGGAGGAUCCGAGCGUUAUCCGGAUUUAUUGGGUUUAAAGGGAGCGUAGGCGGGUUGUUAAGUCAGUUGUGAAAGUUUGCGGCUCAACCGUAAAAUUGCAGUUGAUACUGGCGACCUUGAGUGCAACAGAGGUAGGCGGAAUUCGUGGUGUAGCGGUGAAAUGCUUAGAUAUCACGAAGAACUCCGAUUGCGAAGGCAGCUUACUGGAUUGUAACUGACGCUGAUGCUCGAAGUGUGGGUAUCAACAGGAUAGA
rnacentral:rRNA from 1 species